UGUGGAAUCUUGCGCAAUGGGGGAAACCCUGACGCAGCAACGCCGCGUGAGUGAGGAAGGUCUUCGGAUCGUAAAGCUCUGUCAGUUGGAAAGAAAUGUCUGAGAGUCAAUCCCUUUCAGGCUUGACGGUACCAACAGAGGAAGCACCGGCUAACUCCGUGCCAGCAGCCGCGGUAAUACGGGGGGUGCAAGCGUUGUUCGGAAUUAUUGGGCGUAAAGAGCGUGUAGGCGGCCGGAUAUGUCAGAUGUGAAAGCCCCGGGCUUAACCCGGGAAGUGCAUUUGAAACUGUCCGGCUCGAGUAGGAGAGAGGGAAGUGGAAUUCCUGGUGUAGAGGUGAAAUUCGUAGAUAUCAGGAGGAACACCGGUGGCGAAGGCGACUUCCUGGCCCUAUACUGACGCUGAGACGCGAGAGCGUGGGUAGCAAACAG
rnacentral:rRNA from 1 species